rnacentral:lncRNA from 10 species
CAGGUUUGCCCAGGACUGCCCUGGUCUUAAAAGUGGAGUCCCUCCCACAUCCCAGGAGACUCACUGGGUUUGGUCACCCCAGAGCGGGAGAGAGAGGAAGAGGACAGAAAAGCAGGGAAGGAGGCUUUCUCCAGAGGCGGGCAGACAAGGGGAAGGGCAGAAGUGACUUCCAUGGGUGCUGGCUAGAUGGGGAAACUCACUGAGAUGGACACUGGUGGCUGAUGAACUUUUCUGUUCUAUUUGUACCUUGCACUUCAAUGAAGAGUGUUAGAUGAAUAAGGAAUGGCAACUCUUGAACCCAGGUCUUACUGACCCCAGAGAGUCAGCCACUGCUCCCUGUUGCCUUCCUGGGCCAGAGACUCUCACGGGGCUGUCUGCACUAAAGUGUUCUUUCUAUCCCCUGGCGCCCUGAGCAUCAAAGAAGCUUUACUCACUACGUGGGGACCCCUCGCCUUGGAUCACAAAGAGUCUCGACCUUCCUGGACAUCAGCUCAGACCAGAUGAUGUUAAAAAGCUUCGUUGCCGUUGCUGUCUGAUUGAUUACCAGCCAGAUACUCCCUGAACCCAUGCCCAGCCACCCACGCCUCCCUAAUUUCAAGGUCUGAAGGCCAGAUGGACUCAAGCAAGCCAUUUGCCUUUCUGAAAUCUCAGCUGCCUCAUCUGAGCAAGUGAGAUAAGCCGGCUUAUCUUGCCGCUGUGAAGCUGUCUGCAAGGCAAGGUGCCUAAUAAACGUCAGCCAUUACUCACGGGAAUCAAAGCAAAUGCUUAGCGAGCCUUCCUUUGUGCCAGGCACUGUUCUGAGCGCUCUAUGCAUAUGAAUUUGUUUAAUCCUCGCCACCACCUGGGAAGCAGAUACCAUUAUUAUUCCCAUUUUACAGGGGAGGAAACUGAGACAUAGAAAGGCAAAGUCAUUCAGAAUUAAGGUCACACAGUUCGUAGAAGACGGCUGAACACAAGAGGCCUGGUUCCAGACUCCAUGCCCUUAGCCAGUAAUUAUUAUUUCUGCUAAAAUAAUUGCAAUCACUAUUAUUAUGCUGACAGGUUUAGGGGCUUGCUCUGACCAGA